GUUUAACGCUAAACAAACGCCGGUCUCCCCGCUGCCCACCUCCACUCGCCCUUAAAAAAAAGAAAAACAAACCGCUCCUGCCUCUUCUCUCGCACGACCCCCACGCGCCCGCCGCCGCCGCCCCUCCCUCGAACGAAACUCACGCGACAGGCGGCUCUCGCAUGCCUCCCCCUCCCCGCGUCUCACCGGCGAAGAGGGAUACGUGCCGUGCCCGGCCGCCGCCCCGUGCGGUUGAUUCCAGACGCUGGGUCGCCGUAUUGCCGUAUUGGGCAGCAGUUCGCCGCUACACUGCACGAGGAGGGCGACGCUUGGGCCGCCGCUGAGCCGGACGAGGUCUCCGUCCGGGUCUGCUGCCAAGCUUGUGGCCGGCCACUUGGCUCGCCGCCCGUCUCACCUUACAGCAAGCACCACUAGGAGUCUGGGACUCCCCAUCCAGCUCGCUCUUUGCUACAUCUUGCCGCUCCCAAUCCAGGUCGCCACAUGCCUCUGGACCAGCAUACACAUUGAGGCAAGCUAACAUCGACAAGCAGAAAUCGGACACCUCAAGUUCACGAAGUUAAUGGCAAAAAAGAGAACUUACUAGACUUGAUGACUGCACAAUGGAAUUAUCGAUUUUUAUGUGUGCCAUUCAAAAGAUGUUGCGGCUUUAACUAAAACAUAUCUGUAAGCCUUGGAGCUUGAACAUUGGCUUAUCCCAAGAAGAAUCAAGUUUGAUUGUACAGUACAUGUUGUUUCUCUAUGCAGAAUUCCAAAGGUACUUCAUAUACGACUCUUCAUGAUGCAAAAAAUAAUAAUAUUUAUGGCUGGACCACUAAUUGUAUAGUUUGGUUAAAAAUCAUUUAGUAGACUGUAGCAACUUUGAUUUUAGGUGUUGAAGUAUCCUGACAUUGGAAGCACAUUGUAGCAACCUUGUACUAACUUGUUGAUAAAAAAUGAUUGCCUUUCAAAGUUUCAAUGAACUUCUCACUGGACAUUUUGUCGCAUUGGCCUGAAUCUGUAUGUUGCAUCAUUUGUUCACAAUGAAAACUGUAUGUACCUGCAUUGGAUGGUGUAUUUGUAGGAAGGUUAUCCUUUCUUCAAGGACUGUAAGUUUCCUGGGAAGUGUUCCUUUUUCUGAAAAACUCUUUGUUUGUCCACUGUAAUAUUUUGUUUACAUAAGGUUUCUCUUUCCUUUUGUGGGCAUAAUGUCGAGACAAUAAUAUUCAGAAAGUUGUUGUUUUAGGGAAACUGCUAACUCCAUAUGUCAGACCCAUAUAAUUGUUCAGCAUGCAUAGUGUUCCUAUGUCUAUGAUGUUUUUGUUUCCUUUUAUAUCACAGUACUCUUCAUUUUGGCCAUGCCUUCAAACUGAACCAAAAAUGGUUUGUCUGAUGACAUGUUUCAGGAGAUUGUUGAUAUCAAACAGUAGAUAUGAGGGUGAUCAUUUUUUGCAAGUUUUGCCUGAGGAAUCUUUUUGCAGUUGAUAAGACAUGGGCUGGACUUACUUCCGUCUGCAAUAUUUUUGCUAAAGUGAUUCAAGUUACCAUGGCAUGAAUGCCCUUGUGAUGACGGUGGUGUGUGUGAUUGCAUGAGGACUGCAGGUCUGCAACAAUGAUGAUGGCAAUGCCAAUUCAGUUGUGGUUGCAGAGUGACUAUGUGGAGCUUUUGAAGGAAAAGGAUAAACCAAGAAGCCUGGGCGAUCGUCUAUUGGCGGCAACCUGGUAUACAUGACCUCAUUGACCUGCCUGAAUCUUUUGAUGAUAGAUCAUUAAUAUGUCAUAGAGGUAAAAAAAGAAAUUCUGCACUCGGUACAACUGAGCAUUUUAUUAUGGAAGUGAUGGACAAUCUCUUGCAUUGUCUUGUGGCUGGCCAUGUACGUAUUUCACCUAUAAGCAUAACACAUAGGCUGGCACAAUUCUAGAGAGGUUAUUUUUAGUCUAAAAGCAUAUGUAUUUUUUACACUCCUAACACUUACAAUUCAUAUUUUUUGUAUUUAUAGUAGUCAAGAUGUGCAUUUCGUGUGCUUAACUACUGUAUAAAGAGUGCUAGCUUGCUCGUAUGUUUUGUUUAAUUUUGGUUAGAACAUCUAGAUGGUGAUAAAAAAAGAAGAGAGUACUUUUUUUCCGUGAAUAUACAUGUUGCGUACUAUUCCAUUGAUAGAGGCAAUUAAGGGUUGUGUUCCUUGAGCUGAGCUGCGUACACUGCAUGGCGCAGACAAGGACACGGUUAAGCAGAAGGCAUGAGGAUGCUCAGCCCCAAGAGUCAUAGAAUCAGAUGACGGGCAAGAUCAUGUUCAAUGCUUCUAUGUGUAAAAUUGAAUGACAUUGUGAUCAGUUAGAUUGAGCCCCCGCUGGUCCACGAAACGUCUUGCCCUUAUUUCCAGGAUAGGAUGGGAAAUGUUCUUGGUACCAAUGGACCCUCGGCUCGGGUCCAAUAAUCUGGGCGCGAACACAUGGUGAGAAAUUGGGGAAACGAACACAUGAGGAGAGGACUCCCUUGACAUGGACAACUGAGCGGCUGAUCCAGCAAUGGUCCCCCGGAACACAUGAGGAGAGGACUCCCUUGAUUCGGAACUCGUAUGCGUCGGCAGCGAUCGGGGAAGGAGAUUGGUGAUAUUUUAGUUUAAUUAAUCUGGAAACAGGGGCAGUGAGCCUCUGUUUCUUGCUGCUAUACUAUCUUGGCGUAUGGGCUACUCUUUCAGGUUCAUUUCACCGCGUGCAGAUUGUUUUAAAACAUGGGGAGGUGAUCUGAUCCCUGUAGAUAGAUAUAAACCUGCGUGCUGCACGUUCGUCGACAGUUUAGGUGUUUCAUGUGCCUGGAAUGAAUGAAUACACGGGCUUGCGUGC